GAGCGGAGGGCAACACAGCCAAUGGGUAACAUGGUACCUUUGGGGACAAUGCUUCUGACGUGGCUCCCUCUGAGGUUAAAUGGAGCGACAAGAGUGCGACCAUUUUCCGCGACAAGUAGUACAAAAGGCUGGGGAGACGUCUCGGGUGGCGGGAGGCGAGCGGGCUCCGUGCGGACUGUCAUUGCGACCGGGUUCCACCGCCUCCGAGGCCGGCUUCUCCGGUCCUCCUGCGCCGCUGGGCCUCCUUGUGGCUAUGCUCCCUGGAGAGUUCCCGCCCCUCCAUUCCUCAAAGCUAUGCUCUCUUUCUCAGAAAAAGAGCCCGCAGUGGUCACCAACUGCACAUGGUUGCGGCCAUCUUGGGGGCGGGGCCGGCCCAUUAAAGAGGGGUUAUGGUCUCAGUGGCCUCCUAUGAAUGAAAAUGGUGUGACCUCGUAUCCUCCACUGGAGUACAUGGCCUUUACUGGAGCCCAGAUAGGCAGACAAGAAGACAAGCCUGUCAAAUGAAUCUGAAGGAGAAACAUUUUCCUAGGCAGAUUUUGUUUGAUUUUGUUUUGUUCUCAUCAGUCUGUAUCAUAUCAUUGUCAGAUGUCUAUUUUGGCUAACAACAGUUAAGCCCUGGUUGAAAGGAUGAAUUCCUAGUUUGCUAAGGAUUUUUAUCACAAAUGACUGUCAAAUAAUUUUCAAAUUUGCUUUGUUAUCAGUUGAUCUUGUCAGGUCAUUUUUUCCUUUAAAUUGUUAAUUUGAUACAUUACAUUGAUAGAUUUUAAAAUAUCAAACCUUUUAUCCCUGGAAUAAACCCACAUAGUCAUGGUAAAUUAUUAUGUUUUUAUAUAUUGAUGGAUUUGUUAAUACUAUGUUAGGGAUUUUUGCAUCCCUUACUCAUGAGAGAUAUUGGUGUAUACUUUUCUUUAUUUCUAGUUAAUUUAGUUGCCUGGGUUAGAGCACUCAAGUCUUACAUUUCCUUUCCAGGAGUUUCCAAUGUCCUUAUGUCUAAUCUCAAAGAGACUGCAUGUCUCUGGCCCAGUUCUCUUAUAUCAACACAAUGUACUUUAAAUAAAGUUAACCUUGGAUCUCCCCUGCUGGUCCAGUGGUUAAGAAUCCAUGUUCCAAUGCAGGGGAUGUGGAUUUGAUCCCUGAUCAGAGAACUAAGAUCCCCAAUGCUGUGAUUGGCAAGUAGAGAGCCCAUGCACUCUAGAGCUUAUGCACCAUAACAAGAAAAACCCACAUGCCACAACUAGAGAAGUCCUCAUGCUCUGCUAUUAGAGAUAACCCCAUGGACCACAACAAAGUCCCAGUCCAGCCAAAAUAAAUAAGUAAAUAAAAUUAACUUUAAAAAAGUUAACCUGCUGACAUAAACCAAAUUGAAAUAGAAUAGAGUCCAGAAAUAAACAUUCACAUUUAUGGUCAAUUGAUUGUCAAUAAGGAUACCAAGUCAAGUCAAUGGGGAAAGUAAAGUAUUCCCAACAAAUGGUGUUGAGAAAACUGGACAUCCACAUACAAAAGAAUGAAAUUGGAAUCAUAGAAACAAAAAUUAACUCAAAGUGGAUCAAAGACCUAAGUAUAAGUGCUAAAACUAUAAAAUUCUUAGAGGAAAACAUAAGGGGAAACCUUCAUGAUGUUGGAUCUGGCAGUUAUUUUGGGAUGCGACAUCAAAAGCACGGGCAGCAAAAGAAAAAAUAGAUUAAUUGGACUACCUAAUUUUCUUUUUAAACUUUGUGCAUCAAAGGACACUAUUGGCAGAGAAAAAAGGCAAUCCACAGAAUGAAAGAAAAUCUUUGCAUAUAAACACAAAAAGAAAUCUUGUACCGUUUAGCUGUCACUCUCCCAAAACUCCACUGCCCUCCCCCAGCUCUAGGCAACAACUAAUCUGCUUUAUGUCUUUAUUGAUUUGCCAAUUCUGGAGAUUUCAGAAAAAUAAAAUAAUAUAAUAUUUGAUCUUCUGACUGGCUUCUUUCACUUAGCAUUAUGUUUUUAAAAUUCAUCAUGUUGUAGCAGGUAUCAACCAUUUCUCUUUUUAUGGCUGAGUAAUAUUCCAUUGUAUGGAUACACCAUAUUUGUCUAUUCAUCAGCUGAUGGACAUUUGUUUCCACUUUGGGCUAGUAUGAAUAUUGCUGACAUGAGUAUUCAUGUACAAGUUUUUGUGUUGACGCGUGUCUUUAUUUCUCUUGGAUAUAUGCUUAAAGUUGGGAUUGCUGAGUCAAAUGUUAAGUCUGUGUUUAACUUUUUAAGUUCAAUUAGGUCCCAUUUGUUUAUUUUUGUUUUUAUUUCCAUUACUCUAGGAGGUAGAACAAAGAGGAUCUUGCUGCAAUUUAGGUCAAAGAGUGUUCUGCCUAUGUUUACCUCUAGGAGUUUGACUUUUUCUGGCCUUAACGUUUAUGUCUUUACUUGUGUUUAACUUUUUGAGUAAAGACCAGAAUGUUUUCCAAAGUGGCCACAUGUAACUUCUGAUUUCUGCAUAUCCUUGCCAAC
ensembl:lncRNA